rnacentral:rRNA from 1 species
UACGAAGGGGGCUAGCGUUGCUCGGAAUCACUGGGCGCAAAGCGCACGUAGGCGGAUUGUUAAGUCAGGGGUGAAAUCCUGGAGCUCAACUCCAGAACUGCCUUUGAUACUGGCGAUCUUGAGUCCGGGAGAGGUGAGUGGAACUGCGAGUGUAGAGGUGAAAUUCGUAGAUAUUCGCAAGAACACCAGUGGCGAAGGCGGCUCACUGGCCCGGUACUGACGCUGAGGUGCGAAAGCGUGGGGAGCAAACAGG